UACGUAGGGUGCGAGCGUUAAUCGGAAUUACUGGGCGUAAAGCGUGCGCAGGCGGUUUUGGAAGACAGAUGUGAAAUCCCCGGGCUUAACCUGGGAACUGCAUUUGUGACUGCAUCGCUGGAGUGCGGCAGAGGGGGAUGGAAUUCCGCGUGUAGCAGUGAAAUGCGUAGAUAUGCGGAGGAACACCGAUGGCGAAGGCAAUCCCCUGGGCCUGCACUGACGCUCAUGCACGAAAGCGUGGGGAGCAAACAGG
rnacentral:rRNA from 1 species